UUAAACGUCCAUAGCGUGUUGAAUACCCCGGUACUCGUCCGAUCACCGAAGUUAAACAACAUAGGGUGCGGUAAGUACUUGGAUGGGUGACCGCCCGGCAAUACCGCGUGACGUUGGCU
rnacentral:rRNA from 1 species